rnacentral:tRNA from 1 species
GGGGUUGUAGCUCAGUGGUAGAGCACUUGCCUUGCAUGCAUGAGGCCUUGGGUUCCAUCCUCAGCACUACA